AGAGUUUGAUCCUGGCUCAGAAUCAACGCUGGCGGCGCGCCUAACACAUGCAAGUCGAACGAGAAAGUGGAGCAAUCCAUGAGUAAAGUGGCGUACGGGUGAGUAACACGUGGGUGAUCUACCUCUUAGUGAGGAAUAACCCUGGGAAACCGGGGCUAAUACCGCAUAAGCCUUAGCAGGGAAAGUCGAAAGACGCUGAGAGAGGAGCCCGCGGCCGAUUAGCUAGUUGGUGAGGUAAGAGUCCACCAAGGCAGAGAUCGGUAGCCGGCCUGAGAGGGCACACGGCCACACUGGCACUGAAACACGGGCCAGACUCCUACGGGAGGCAGCAGUGGGGAAUCUUGCACAAUGGGGGAAACCCUGAUGCAGCGACGCCGCGUGAGCGAUGAAGCCCUUCGGGGUGUAAAGCUCUUUCGUCAGGGAAGAUAGUGACGGUACCUGGAGAAGCAGCUGCGGCUAACUACGUGCCAGCAGCCGCGGUAAUACGUAGGCAGCAAGCGUUGUUCGGAGUUACUGGGCGUAAAGGGUGUGUAGGCGGUUCUUUAAGUUUGGUGUGAAAUCUCCCGGCUCAACCGGGAGGGUGCGCCGAAUACUGAGGGACUAGAGUGUGGGAGAGGAAAGUGGAAUUCCUGGUGUAGCGGUGAAAUGCGUAGAUAUCAGGAGGAACACCNNGGUGGUGUAGACGGCUUUCUGGACCAUAACUGACGCUGAGACACGAAAGCGUGGGUAGCAAACAGGAUUAGAUACCCUAGUAGUCC
rnacentral:rRNA from 1 species